ACGCUGGCGGCGUGCCUAAUACAUGCAAGUCGAACGGUCUUUUCUAUGGAAGCUUGCUUCCACUGAGAAGAUAGUGGCGAACGGGUGAGUAACACGUGGGUAACCUGCCCAUAAGAGGGGGAUAACAUCCGGAAACGGGUGCUAAUACCGCAUAGUUUUCUUGAUCGCAUGAUUGAGAAAGGAAAGACGGCCUUUGUGCUGUCGCUUAUGGAUGGACCCGCGGCGUAUUAGUUAGUUGGUGAGGUAAUGGCUCACCAAGACGAUGAUACGUAGCCGACCUGAGAGGGUGAUCGGCCACAUUGGGACUGAGACACGGCCCAAACUCCUACGGGAGGCAGCAGUAGGGAAUCUUCCGCAAUGGACGAAAGUCUGACGGAGCAACGCCGCGUGAGUGAAGAAAGGUUUUCGGAUCGUAAAACUCUGUUGUCAGAGAAGAACAAGUUGGAGAGUAACUGCUCCAGCCUUGACGGUAUCUGACCAGAAAGCCACGGCUAACUACGUGCCAGCCGCCGC
rnacentral:rRNA from 1 species